AGUGAACGCUGGCGGCAGGCCUAAUACAUGCAAGUCGAACGGCAGCACAGCAGAGCUUGCUCUGUGGGUGGCGAGUGGCGGACGGGUGAGGAAUACAUGGGAAUCUGCCCAGUCGUGGGGGAUAACGUAGGGAAACUUACGCUAAUACCGCAUGCGCCCUUCGGGGGAAAGCCGGGGACCUUCGGGCCUGGCGCGAUUGGAUGAGCCCAUGUCGGAUUAGCUAGUUGGCGGGGUAAAGGCCCACCAAGGCGACGAUCCGUAGCUGGUCUGAGAGGAUGAUCAGCCACACUGGAACUGAGACACGGUCCAGACUCCUACGGGAGGCAGCAGUAGGGAAUAUUGGACAAUGGGCGCAAGCCUGAUCCAGCCAUGCCGCGUGAGUGAAGAAGGCCCUCGGGUUGUAAAGCUCUUUUGUCCGGAAAGAAAAGCGCCGGGUUAAUACCCUGGUGUCCUGACGGUACCGGAAGAAUAAGCACCGGCUAACUACGUGCCAGCAGCCG
rnacentral:rRNA from 1 species